rnacentral:rRNA from 1 species
UACGUAGGAGGCAAGCGUUGUCCGGAAUUACUGGGCGUAAAGCGCGUGUAGGUGGUGGGACAAGUCUGCUGUGAAAGCGCCUGGCUUAACCGGGCGAGGUCGGCGGAAACUGUUCGACUCGAGGACGGUAGAGGGGGGUGGAAUUCCCGGUGUAGCAGUGAAAUGCGUAGAGAUCGGGAGGAACAUCAGUUGCGAAGGCGGCUCUCUGGACCAGCACUGACACUGAGGCACGAAAGCGUGGGGAGCAAACAGG